rnacentral:ncRNA from 1 species
UUCUUCGGGGCGGGGUGCAAGUCCCCACCGGCGGUAUAGUCCGCGACCACCUUCGGGUGAAUGAAUCGGUGACGCGCGUGCGCGAAUUCCGAUACCGACAGUAUAGUCUGGAUGUGAGAAGAA